UACAGAGGUCUCAAGCGUUGUUCGGAUUCACUGGGCGUAAAGGGUGCGUAAGCGGUCGGGUAAGUCUGAUGUGAAAUCUCACAGCUUAACUGUGAAACUGCAUUGGAUACUAUCCGGCUCGAGGAAUGGAGGGGAGACUGGAAUACUUGGUGUAGCAGUGAAAUGCGUAGAUAUCAAGUGGAACACCAGUGGCGAAGGCGAGUCUCUGGACAUUUCCUGACGCUGAGGCACGAAAGCCAGGGGAGCAAACGGG
rnacentral:rRNA from 1 species